GGCAUUGUGGCCAAGUGGUAAGGCAAUGGUCUUGUAAAUUGAAGAUCAUAGGUUCAAUCCCCAUCCAUGCCU